UACGGGGGGGGGCAAGCGUUGUUCGGAAUUACUGGGCGUAAAGGGCUCGUAGGCGGCCAACUAAGUCAGACGUGAAAUCCCUCGGCUUAACCGGGGAACUGCGUCUGAUACUGGUUGGCUUGAGUGUGGGAGAGGGAGUGCGGAAUUCCAGGUGUAGCGGUGAAAUGCGUAGAUAUCUGGAGGAACACCGGUGGCGAAGGCGGCAUCCUGGACCAUUACUGACGCUGAGGAGCGAAAGCCAGGGGAGCAAAGCGGG
rnacentral:rRNA from 1 species